GACGAACGCUGGCGGCGUGCCUAAUACAUGCAAGUAGAACGCUGAAGGAGGAGCUUGCUUCUCUGGAUGAGUUGCGAACGGGUGAGUAACGCGUAGGUAACCUGCCUGGUAGCGGGGGAUAACUAUUGGAAACGAUAGCUAAUACCGCAUAAUAGUAGAUGUUGCAUGACAUUUGCUUAAAAGGUGCAAUUGCAUCACUACCAGAUGGACCUGCGUUGUAUUAGCUAGUUGGUGAGGUAACGGCUCACCAAGGCGACGAUACAUAGCCGACCUGAGAGGGUGAUCGGCCACACUGGGACUGAGACACGGCCCAGACUCCUACGGGAGGCAGCAGUAGGGAAUCUUCGGCAAUGGACGGAAGUCUGACCGAGCAACGCCGCGUGAGUGAAGAAGGUUUUCGGGUCGUAAAGCUCUGUUGUAAGAGAAGAACGAGUGUGAGAGUGGAAAGUUCACACUGUGACGGUAUCUUACCAGAAAGGGACGGCUAACUACGUG
rnacentral:rRNA from 1 species